rnacentral:rRNA from 1 species
CAGCCGUAAACUAUGCGCGUUAGGUGUACUGGUGACCACGAGUCACCGGGUGCCGAAGGGAAACCGUGAAACGUGCCGCCUGGGAAGUACGGUCGCAAGGCUGAAACUUAAAGGAAUUGGCGGGGAGCACCACAACGGGUGGAGCCUGCGGUUUAAUUGGACUCAACGCCGGGAAGCUCACCGGAUAAGACAGCGGAAUGAUUGCCGGGCUGAAGGUUUUACAUGACUAGCUGAGAGGAGGUGCAUGGCGUCAGUGACU